CCUACGGGCGGCUGCAGUGAGGAAUAUUGGUCAAUGGACGAGAGUCUGAACCAGCCAAGUAGCGUGAAGGAAGAAUGACCUAUGGGUUGUAAACUUCUUUUAUAGGGGAAUAAACGGAUCCACGUGUGACUUUUUGCAUGUACUUUAUGAAUAAGGAUCGGCUAACUCCGUGCCAGCAGCCGCGGUAAUACGGAGGAUACGAGCGUUACCCGGAUUUAUUGGGUUUAAAGGGUGCGUAGUUUGGUUGUUAAGUCAGUGGUGAAAGUUUGCGGCUCAACCAUAAAAUUGCAGUUGAUACUGGCAGUCUUGAGUACAGUUGAGGUAGGCGGAAUUCGUGGUGUAGCGGUGAAAUGCAUAGAGAUCACGAAGAACCCCGAUUGCGAAGGCAGCUUACUAAGCUAUGACUGACAUUGAUGCUCGAAAGUGUGGGUAUCAAACAGGAUUAGAUACCCUGGUAGUC
rnacentral:rRNA from 1 species